rnacentral:rRNA from 1 species
UGGCGGGCGGCUUACACAUGCAGUCGAGCGGAACGAUGGUAGCUUGCUACCAGGCGUCGAGCGGCGGACGGGUGAGUAAUACUUAGGAAUCUACCUAGUAGUGGGGGAUAGCUCGGGGAAACUCGAAUUAAUACCGCAUACGACCUACGGGAGAAAGGGGGCAACUUGUUGCUCUCGCUAUUAGAUGAGCCUAAGUCGGAUUAGCUAGAUGGUGGGGUAAAGGCCCACCAUGGCGACGAUCUGUAGCUGGUCUGAGAGGAUGAUCAGCCACACCGGGACUGAGACACGGCCCGGACUCCUACGGGAGGCAGCAGUGGGGAAUAUUGGACAAUGGGGGAAACCCUGAUCCAGCCAUGCCGCGUGUGUGAAGAAGGCCUUUUGGUUGUAAAGCACUUUAAGCAGUGAAGAAGACUCCUCGGUUAAUACCCGUGGACGAUGACAUUAGCUGCAGAAUAAGCACCGGCUAACUCUGUGCCAGCAGCCGCGGUAAUACAGAGGGUGCAAGCGUUAAUCGGAAUUACUGGGCGUAAAGCGAGCGUAGGUGGCUUGAUAAGUCAGAUGUGAAAUCCCCGGGCUUAACCUGGGAACUGCAUCUGAAACUGUUAGGCUAGAGUAGGUGAGAGGAAGGUAGAAUUCCAGGUGUAGCGGUGAAAUGCGUAGAGAUCUGGAGGAAUACCGAUGGCGAAGGCAGCCUUCUGGCAUCAUACUGACACUGAGGCUCGAAAGCGUGGGUAGCAAACAGGAUUAGAUACCCUGGUAGUCCACGCCGUAAACGAUGUCUACUAGUCGUUGGGUCCCUUGAGGACUUAGUGACGCAGCUAACGCAAUAAGUAGACCGCCUGGGGAGUACGGCCGCAAGGUUAAAACUCAAAUGAAUUGACGGGGGCCCGCACAAGCGGUGGAGCAUGUGGUUUAAUUCGAUGCAACGCGAAGAACCUUACCUGUCUUGACAUAUCUAGAAUCCUGCAGAGAUGCGGGAGUGCCUUCGGGAAUUAGAAUACAGGUGCUGCAUGGCUGUCGUCAGCUCGUGUCGUGAGGUGUUGGGUUAAGUCCCGCAACGAGCGCAUCCCUUGUCCUUAGUUACCGGCGGGUUAAGCCGGGAACUUUAAGGAUACUGCCAGUGACAAACUGGAGGAAGGCGGGGACGACGUCAAGUCAUCAUGGCCCUUACGACCAGGGCUACACACGUGCUACAAUGGUAGGUACAGAGGGCAGCUACACAGCGAUGUGAUGCGAAUCUCAAAAAGCCUAUCGUAGUCCAAAUUGGAGUCUGCAACUCGACUCCAUGAAGUAGGAAUCGCUAGAAUCGCGGAUCAGAA